CCUACGGGGGGCAGCAGUGAGGAAUAUUGGUCAAUGGGCGCAGGCCUGAACCAGCCAAGUAGCGUGAAGGAUGACUGCCCUAUGGGUUGUAAACUUCUUUUAUAUGGGAAUAAAGUUUUCCACGUGUGGAAUUUUGUAUGUACCAUAUGAAUAAGGAUCGGCUAACUCCGUGCCAGCAGCCGCGGUAAUACGGAGGAUCCGAGCGUUAUCCGGAUUUAUUGGGUUUAAAGGGAGCGUAGGUGGACAGUUAAGUCAGUUGUGAAAGUUUGCGGCUCAACCGUAAAAUUGCAGUUGAUACUGGCUGU
rnacentral:rRNA from 1 species